rnacentral:misc_RNA from 1 species
GAACGCACCUUGCGCCCGCCAGUAUUCUGGCGGGCAUGCCUGUCCGAGCGUCAUUUCAACCCUCAAGCCCCCGGGCUUGGUGUUGGAGAUCGGCGAGCCCCCCGGGGCGCGCCGUCUCCCAAAUAUAGUGGCGGUCCCGCUGUAGCUUCCUCUGCGUAGUAGCACACCUCGCACUGGGAAACAGCGUGGCCACGCCGUAAAACCCCCCACUUCUGAAAGGUUGACCUCGGAUCAGGUAGGAAUACCCGCUGAACUUAAG